GAUGAAGAACGCAGCGAAAUGCGAUAAGUAAUGUGAAUUGCAGAAUUCAGUGAAUCAUCGAAUCUUUGAACGCACCUUGCGCCCUUUGGCUAUUCUGAAGGGCAUGCCUGUUUGAGUAUCGUGAACACCUCAACUCUCAUGGUCUGCCAUGAUGAGCUUGGACUUUGGGGGUCUUGCUGGCCUACUGUCAGCUCCUCUCAAAUGAAUCAGCUUACCAGUGUUUGGUGGCACCACAGGUGUGAUAACUAUCUACGCUUGUGGUUUUCUGCCAGGUAACCUCCAGUGAUGGAGGUUCGCUGGAGCUCACAAAUGUCUCUCCUCAGCGAGGACAGCUUUUUGAACGUUUGAUCUCAAAUCAGGUAGGACUACCCGCUGAACUUAAGCAUAUCAAUAAGCGGAGGA
rnacentral:misc_RNA from 1 species